rnacentral:rRNA from 1 species
CAGCCGCCGCGGGAACACCGAGGGUGCAAGCGUUAAUCGGAAUUACUGGGCGUAAAGCGCGCGUAGGUGGUUUGUUAAGUUGGAUGUGAAAUCCCCGGGCUCAACCUGGGAACUGCAUUCAAAACUGACUGACUAGAGUAUGGUAGAGGGUGGUGGAAUUUCCUGUGUAGCGGUGAAAUGCGUAGAUAUAGGAAGGAACACCAGUGGCGAAGGCGACCACCUGGACUAAUACUGACACUGAGGUGCGAAAGCGUGGGGAGCAAACAGGAUUAGAUACCCGAGUAGUCCCUGUCUCUUAUAC